GGGGAUUUAGCUCAGUGGUAGAGCGCUUGCCUAGCAAGUGCUCUGGGUUCGGUCCCCAGCUCA
rnacentral:tRNA from 1 species